rnacentral:tRNA from 3 species
AGGCACGUACUGUCAAUGGUAGACGACCGCCCUUACAAGGCGGGGGUUGUGGGUUCGAGUCCCACCGUGCCUACCA